ensembl:snoRNA
AUCCUUUUGUAGUUCAUCAGCAUGAUGAUUGGGUUUUCACACACAUGUGUAAUAUGUGCCUCCCUCAAACCAUGUUAUGACCUCAGUAUAUUACCUGUCUGAUA